rnacentral:rRNA from 1 species
GACGAACGCUGGCGGCGUGCUUAACACCUGCAAGUCGAGCGGAGCAGCGAACGGGUGAGUAAAGCGUGAGUAACUGCCCCACUCUCUGGGAUAACAGUUGGAAAAGGCUGCUAAUACCGGAUAGUGGGGGAUGAAUCGCGUCCUAUCAGCUUUUUGGUUGGGUAGUGGACUACCAAGGCGACGACGGGUAGCCUGCCUGAGAGGGCGACCGGCCACAUUGGGCUGAGAGACGGCCCAAACGCUUACGGGAGGCAGCAGUGUGGAAUAUUGCACAAUGGGGGAAACCCUGAUGCAGCAACGCGCGUGCGGGAUGACGGCCGUCGGGUGGUAAACCGCUUUCAGCCAUGACGCGGUAGUGGCAGAAGAAGCACCGGCUAACUACGUGCCAGCAGCCGCGGUAAUAC